rnacentral:lncRNA from 1 species
GACUUUGCGUGCCUUACAUUGUCCAUGGCUUGUGCUUCAACAUAAGUCGGAGUUCUUUUAAACAUUUGUCAUAAACAAAAAGAUCAAAGAAAUGGGACAUUUAAAUUUACAUGCACAUAUAUUGAUACCAAUUCAAACUUGUAUAUUUAUGUUCCCUCUAUAGAUCCUCCAGAACUAGAAAUUAAAGGAAAAAAAACCAGACACGGCUUCCUGCUCCUUACUUGCACAUUUAUACCCAAAUAAAAAGAAAUACAACACUAUCGUACUCGUAGAGAAAUUCAUAAAGGAAAAAACCUUAAUCAAAUGGCAAAAUUAAAACCUCAAACACAUCAAACGAAUGGAUAAUAAUUGUCCUAUUCCUGACACGAUACAAGCAUUUUCUUAUGUAGAAAAUGAUGGAUAAAAACUGGUUUGAUAGCUACCAAAACCGCUCACAAGUCAAACGAGAUGAUUUUAAUUUUGAUAUAAUCAAUUUCCCCCA